rnacentral:rRNA from 1 species
UGGAACUCCCAUACCACCCUGAACGCGCCCGAUCUCGUCUGGUUUCGGAAGCUGAAAAGGGUCGGGCCUGGUUAGUACUUGGAUGGGUGUCUCUU